GGCUGUUCUGAAGGUAGUGACUUAUCUCAAUUGAUUGUUCAUAGUCAGUUACAGACUGAACUCUUUGUUCUACUCUUCCUUCCCUUCUCACUGCUGCAAGACUUGACCAGUCUUUU
rnacentral:Y_RNA from 1 species